UAUUCGGCUUAGUCAUAGAGGGAUAGUUAGCUUUUAAAUGCGGACAGAUUUGGCCUUUGUUGCUUGGUUAGUCUAUAACUUUCUCUAUAGUUAUCUAAUUGAGUUUAUUCUUUUUGCAUUGCAUGACUGAUUCUUUGGAGUUUGAUAUUCAAACCCCAUAAAAUGUUCAAGCUGCUCUUUAUGCCAAGUGGUUUGGUUCUUUCAUUCUUCUCGAAGCUGGUCCUUUUUUUCAUUAACAGCAAGUUAUUGUCCAAAGAGAAGCCAGGCCUCUUCUGGAAUCACUUCCAGAAAAUAUCAAAGUAGACACCUUGAAUCAUGCUGGAAGUCUCUAAAUUCCCGGAGGGAAGUGUUCUUGGGUCGACAAUGUAACUUGCUUACUUGAAUCAUUUUAAUGUUAUCAUUUGCAGAGCUUGGUAACUUGUUUACCUAAUCUCCGUAA
rnacentral:sRNA from 1 species